AUUGAACGCUGGCGGCAGGCCUCACACAUGCAAGUCGAGCGAGCGGCGGACGGGUGAGUAAUGCCUAGGAAUCUGCCAGAUGGAGGGGGAUAACUACUGGAAACGGUAGCUACUACCGCAUACCAUCGGAUGUGCACAGAUGUGAUUAGCUAGUAGGUGGGGUAAAGGCUCACCUAGGCGACGAUCCCUAGAUGGUCUGAGAGUAUGACCAGCCACACUGGAACUGAGACACGGUCCAUACUCCUACGGGAGGCAGCAGUGGGGAAUAUUGCACAAUUGGCGCUAGCCUGAUGCAGCCAUGCCGCGUGUAUGAAGAAGGCCUUCGGGUUGUAAAGUACUUUCAGCGGGGAGGCGUUACCCGCAGAAGAAGCACCGGCUAACUCCGUGCCAGCAGCCGCGGUAAUUC
rnacentral:rRNA from 1 species